rnacentral:rRNA from 1 species
GUGAGGAAUUUUCCGCAAUGGGCGAAAGCCUGACGGAGCAAUGCCGCGUGGAGGAGGAAGGCCUGUGGGUCGUAAACUCCUUUUCUCAGAGAAGAAGUUCUGACGGUAUCUGAGGAAUAAGCAUCGGCUAACUCUGUGCCAGCAGCCGCGGUAAUACAGGGGAUGCAAGCGUUAUCCGGAAUUAUUGGGCGUAAAGCGUCCUGAGGUGGCUUACCCAGUCGACUGUGAAAGCUCAAGGCUUAACCUUGAAACGGCAGUCGAAACUUGUAAGCUUGAGUACGGUAGGGGCAGAGGGAAUUCCCGGAGGAGAGGUGAAAUUCGUAGAUAUCGGGAGGAAGGCCAAAGGCGAAAGCACUCUGCUGGGCCGAUUACUGACACUGACAGACGAAAGCUAGGGGAGCGAAAGGGAUUAGAAACCCCGGUAGUCC